AGUGAACGCUGGCGGUACGCCUAACACAUGCAAGUCGAACGGCAGCACAGUAAGAGCUUGCUCUUACGGGUGGCGAGUGGCGGACGGGUGAGGAAUACAUCGGAAUCUACUUUUUCGUGGGGGAUAACGUAGGGAAACUUACGCUAAUACCGCAUACGACCUACGGGUGAAAGCAGGGGAUCUUCGGACCUUGCGCGAUUGAAUGAGCCAAUGUCGGAUUAGCUAGUUGGCGGGGUAAAGGCCCACCAAGGCGACGAUCCGUAGCUGGUCUGAGAGGAUGAUCAGCCACACUGGAACUGAGACACGGUCCAGACUCCUACGGGAGGCAGCAGUGGGGAAUAUUGGACAAUGGGCGCAAGCCUGAUCCAGCCAUACCGCGUGGGUGAAGAAGGCCUUCGGGUUGUAAAGCCCUUUUGUUGGGAAAGAAAAGCAGCAGGUUAAUACCCCGCUGUUCUGACGGUACCCAAAGAAUAAGCACCGGCUAACUUCGUG
rnacentral:rRNA from 1 species